GGCUUUGUACUUUAAAUUAAAAGACCUGACUUGCACUUAGAGAAUGAAAAUCUUUUUUCCAAAGCCA
rnacentral:tRNA from 1 species